GAUGAAGAACGCAGCGAAAUGCGAUACGUAAUGUGAAUUGCAAAUUCAGUGAAUCAUCGAGUCUUUGAACGCACAUUGCGCCCCCUGGUAUUCCGGGGGGCAUGCCUGUCCGAGCGUCAUUGCUGCCCUCAAGCACGGCUUGUGUGUUGGGCCCCGUCCUCCGAUCCCGGGGGACGGGCCCGAAAGGCAGCGGCGGCACCGCGUCCGGUCCUCGAGCGUAUGGGGCUUUGUCACCCGCUCUGUAGGCCCGGCCGGCGCUUGCCAAUCAACCCAAAUUUUUAUCCAGGUUGACCUCGGAUCAGGUAGGGAUACCCGCUGAACUUAAGCAUAUCAAUAAGCGGAGGA
rnacentral:misc_RNA from 1 species